rnacentral:rRNA from 1 species
UACGUAGGGUGCGAGCGUUACUCGGAAUUACUGGGCGUAAAGCGUGCGCAGGCGGUUUUGUAAGCCAGAUGUGAAAUCCCCGGGCUUAACCUGGGAAUGGCAUUUGGGACUGCAAGGCUUGAGUGCGGCAGAGGAGACUGGAAUUCCUGGUGUAGCAGUGAAAUGCGCAGAUAUCAGGAGGAACACCGGUGGCGAAGGCGGUUCUCUGGGCCUGUACUGACGCUGAGGAACGAAAGCGUGGGGAGCGAACAGG